ACCGUGUCCGCACUUGCCCACGGGGGCUUCUGGAGUCCACUUCUGAACAGAGGAGGAGGAAGCAGUUGCAACGAGGCAGUUUUGUAUGUGCAAACGGCAGGCGCAGAGCCCUUCGUGAACAAGUGUACAAAUGGCUGUGCAAGGCCAAAUGGGAAUGCCACCCACCUCUUGUGCCACAUUUAUACAACUCAUGGGAAGUGAGAAGAAGUUCCAACAGCAUCUUCUAGACACAGGAACUGAACUGUGGACUCCAGAGGCUCCUGAACUAUAACCCUUACCCGUAACUUUAAACCCUAACCCUAAAUCUUUAAUCCUAAAUCCUUAACCCUAACCCUAAUCCUAAAUCCUAACCCUAAACCCUUAACGCUAACCCUAAACCCUACCCCUAAAUCCUUAAUCCUUAACCCUAACUCCUAAACUGUAACCCUAACCUGAAAUCCUAACCCUAAACCCUACCCCUAAAUUCUAAAACCCUAACCCUAAAUCCUAAUCCUAACCCUAAAUCUUUAGCCUAACCGUAAAUCCUGAACCUAACCGUAAAUCCUAACCAUAAAUCCUUAAUCCUAUCCCCUAACCCUAAAUUCUAAUCCCUAAUCACUCCAGGCUAGGCACAGAAGAGCACCUCUGGCCUAGAUGCGGAAUGCCAUUAGAAAUAUCUGCAUAAAAUGUUUAACAGAGGCAAGAACAGCAGGAGGAAGGGGUGUUAGUGGCCCCCAUCCGGCGUGGCACUCCACUUUGNAAGUCGUCCGGUGGGCAGCAUUCAAGGAAGGUGACAAGUUUCCUGAUUCUGCUCUUUCGUGGGCAUAAUAUAUGCCAGAAGACUGUAGCAGAGACUGGGGGAAGAUAAGGAUGNGACCACACAAAGCAUCGCUCACCCAAAAAAUUCUAGGGCUCCAGAUGCAGCAUGCAAAUGGGCUUCAGGAUCAAGUCCAGGAUGCCAGCCUUGGACCCUACAGNGCUGCUUUUCAAUCCCAGUGUCGGGGCGAUGGCCAACCCACAAUGGACUUGGCCUAAUUCACUUGCCAGGUGAGCUCCCCCAACCCAUCCCUCUUUACUCCUUGGCU
rnacentral:lncRNA from 1 species